AAACUAAGUCUGCCUUCUGGGAUCUGAUUGUGAACAGAAUCGUUCCCAAAUGUGGAAGAUUCUUUCCAGAGUGCUGUAUCGACCAAAACCAUCUGCCAGUCCUGAACGCUGAAAAACAUGCCGGUUCUCCAAGCAAAAUGAAUCCAACGGUGAAUCUACCCCAGUCAGAUGCGACAUUCAGAAAACUGUCCGUGAGCUCCCAACCCUCUAUCAUUUAUGACGGUUGUGCAACGGAUCCAGCAACAGGACUGCAGUACCUCUUUAACAGUAAAACGGGUGAAGUCCAGUGGCUAAACCAGAAGACCUCUACUAUGUAAUGUUUACUUCCUGCUAAUACCAACACUUCUCACAUCUCUUCUGUCUGACUGCCCCAGAUGUAUGGACAAAAUGGCUUUCAAACAAUUCACCUGGAAGUGGGAAGUUAUUGAUUAAACUAUCUGACCAUCUAAUAGUCAAUAAUGAAGUCUAUUUAUGGAAUUUGGGCAUUGAAAGUAAUGUUCUCAUUUUGAAUGUUUCCAUAGAAUUAUUUACCUGGCUUAUGUGGUUGUUAUAUGUGCUAUAAGUGCUUUGUUGCCAAAUACAAAAUCAUUUAUUUCCUUGAUUUUUUUGAAGUGUUUCUCCUUGAUUUGUUCAAUAAAUUGCCAAGGCCUGAAUAACAUUGGUGCCUUUGAUAGGAUUGGGGGUCAUCAUCAUCAUCAUCAUCAUCAUCAUUAUUAUUAGCUUUUCUUCUUUAUUUCUCCAAACCUCUAAAAUUAAAUCACCAAUUUUCAUAACAUUUAACACAGCUGUUCAUCCCCCUGCACCCUAAUAGGAUGCAGGUGAACUGGGAACAAGCCUGUGUUGUGGUAGCUCCCCUUUUCCAUUUAUUUAUUGCCAUUUAUAUCCCACCUUUUUCACUGCUCAUCACAAUCACCACCAUCUGGGCAUAGCCCUUCACCAGCCAGGAGACAGGGGGCAUUAUGGUCAAUACUGGGAAUUUUGGGGGAGCAGGUGGUGGAGUGUUCAAAGGCUUUUUGCAAUGGCAGAACAGCCUGCCGCCAUCUUUAAUUUGCCACAGAGUGGCCCCAUGGGAGUGAUGCUCGGAAAUAAUGUAUCAUCAUUCCAAAGGGGCCUUGUUGGAGGCGGGGAUAUGUUUAACCCCCCGAUAUUUACCGUAACUUCUAGAAGAUUCAGGAAAUGGCUGAAAACAGAAGAGAAUGGUAACUUCAGUCACUCUCACUAACAUGCUUUGAAAAAAGGCUCUCCCAAGCAAAAAAUGGGACACUAGGCAUAUGGUGAUUUACUAGGGGCAAGUACCAGAAAGCAGGGACAGUCCUGGUAAAUAGAGACCAAUGGAGCAUAUAUUUAAAAUGCCAUAAUAAUUUACUCACCAGUGAAAUCAGAGCUUUGCCUUUAAUGACAAGCUGCCCAUGGACCAAAGGUCAUGAUGCUUAGACAAACAAUAAGAUAAAUCAACUGGGCGCAACUUUUUAAUAUUGUUGAGUGAUGUUUGCACACUUGAGUGCAGUUGGGAUUUUGUUUUUAAGCAAUCAACCAAGCCAUCCAUUAUUAUAGAUGCAAAAUAGUUCUUGGUUGAGAGGAUAUGAUAAUAAACAUAUAUCACUAACACACACUUCCAUGACUUGUUUACAUUCUGGUCUGCAAAAGAACAAGCCUGAUUAACGGGGUAAACGCUGGCCUUUUUUCUAUUAUCUGAUCUGGUGCCUUUUUCUUUCUGGCGAUGUCAUAACACAACCCGGUUGUAUAUUUUAAAAAGAUGUCAUUCUGUUUAUUUGCAGCUUUUCAAUCUAUUGAAUUAAUUGAAAAAGACCUACCUGUCAUUUCCCCUGCACAUUCCUAUGAUGUAUUAUGGUAGGAAACUUUCCCCAACUGCCUGGGAAAUGUUUCAGAAAGGAGAAAUGAAUAAGGCCCAAAUGCAGAAUUCAGCAGCCAGCUGGUGGCUGAUAGACCACAACCAGACCCACCUCCCUUCCCCAUUGCUUCCAGUAUACCACCCUGCGCUAGAGUGGAAGCACAAGGUAUGGCACCACAUCUCACCCAGUGGGUGUCUGCAAAUAUCUGAGAGAUGCAUAUCUACAGAUGUUGCUGUUACUCAAGGUCAGUGAAAGUUUUUCUGUGUGCUUCUUGGCAUAGUUAAUUGUCUCUAUCUGCCUUUGGCUAGGGCAAUAUUUUCAUACCUUCGGUUAA